rnacentral:rRNA from 1 species
AACGAACGCUGGCGGCAGGCCUAACACAUGCAAGUCGAGCGCGCCCUUCGGGGUGAGCGGCGGACGGGUGAGUAACGCGUGGGAACGUGCCCUUCUCUGCGGAAUAGCCUCGGGAAACUGAGAGUAAUACCGCAUACGCCCUUUGGGGGAAAGAUUUAUCGGAGAAGGAUCGGCCCGCGUUGGAUUAGGUAGUUGGUGGGGUAAUGGCCCACCAAGCCGACGAUCCAUAGCUGGUUUGAGAGGAUGAUCAGCCACACUGGGACUGAGACACGGCCCAGACUCCUACGGGAGGCAGCAGUGGGGAAUCUUAGACAAUGGGGGCAACCCUGAUCGAGCCAUGCCGCGUGAGUGAUGAAGGCCUUAGGGUUGUAAAGCUCUUUCAGCUGGGAAGAUAAUGACGGUACCAGAAGAAGAAGCCCCGGCUAACUCCGUG